CUUGGUGGUUGGCUACUGAGGUACAAGCAAGAGACCUCAGAUUAGGAUGGUGGUAGCAGAUAUUGUGUAGAAAGGACAGAUGUUAGAGCCAUUUUUAGGGAACAUUGAAGAACUGGAAUAAUGGACAUGAAUGGAGAAGAUAGGCAUCCAUAUUGGACCAGCCCCUGUCCACAGUAUUGAAGAUAUCCUUAUGUCCUUAAAAUUAAUCUAUUUUGUGGGAAACAUUGUGAAAGUUACCCAAAGAGAAGAAAAUGUGUUUAUGAUGAAGUUGCUGUCAUCCAGAAACUUAUAAUCAAGUUGGUAAGAUAUGACAUAAUUUGCUAUUUAAAGCACACGUGCACACACACACACACACACAAAUUCAAGGCUGGAUAUGUACUUAAGUAUAUCAAAUUUUUAAGUUGCUAUUUUGAUUUUUUUCAAAUAUACAGAUGUGUCUGAAUGCAGGGAUUAUAGCUGAGC
rnacentral:lncRNA from 1 species